rnacentral:misc_RNA from 1 species
GUAGGUAUAUUGAAUACUUUUUAAUUACGGCAAAUUUGCAUUAUAAACCUUUAACUGAUAUUUGAUAUUGUGCACAUAGAUAUAGUAAAAAAAAGUAGAUAAUGCGCGGCCUUUGUUGUUAGUGAAGCCACAAAACUCGGCUCCUUCAAGUAAAUACACGCGCUCACGCACACAUUUGCAUCAAACUACGCUCAUUUUCGUUAGUAUCUCACGGGCCCUCGUAUAGUAACUUUGCCUUUAAAAUGCCGUCUUGUGUGAUUAAAUGGUGCAAAAACAAUACCAAAGUAAACAAAAAAUCUGAAGGAAUAUCGUUUCACACGUUUCCAACGAAUAUUUUAACAAGAGGUGAAUGGGUAGCGGCUGUAAAACUGAGAAAAUGACCACGAUUAUGCUGGCCAUGCGCAUAAAGUCAAUUUAAUACGAUUAGUGAUUGAAAAAUAUUUGAACAUAAGACUAUAUCAUAUUAGUAUAAUGCAAACAAUGACGAUGACUCUGAGUUCUAAGCGACAAAAAUUUAAAAAAAAAUCUUAUACAACAUAAAAGAUUCUAGGUUUAAGAAAAAUAGUUAAAAAAAAACCGACUGCAAACUGAAAAGAGAUAAACAGAGG